rnacentral:rRNA from 1 species
CCUACGGGUGGCAGCAGCUAAGAAUAUUCCGCAAUGGACGAAAGUCUGACGGAGCGACGCCGUGUGGAUGAUGAGGGCCGGAAGGUUGUAAAAUCCUUUUAUGACUGAGGAAUAAGGAAAGUGAGAGAAACGCUUUCUGGUGACUGUAGGUCAUGAAUAAGCAACGGCUAAUUACGUGCCAGCAGCCGCGGUAACACGUAAGUUGCGAGCGUUGUUCGGAAUUAUUGGGCGUAAAGGGCAUGUAGGCGGUUCUGCAAGUCUGGUGUGAAAUGCCGGGGCUCAACCCCGGAACUGCGUUGGAAACUGCGGAACUGGAGUCGCUGAGGGGCAGCCAGAAUUCCAGGUGUAGGGGUGAAAUCUGUAGAUAUCUGGAAGAAUACCAAUGGCGAAGGCAGGCUGCCAGCAGAUGACUGACGCUGAGGUGCGAAGGUGCGGGGAGCAAACAGGAUUAGAUACCCUAGUAGUC